rnacentral:rRNA from 1 species
AACGAACGCUGGCGGCAUGCCUAACACAUGCAAGUCGAACGAGACCUUCGGGUCUAGUGGCGCACGGGUGCGUAACGCGUGGGAACCCGCCCUUAGGUUCGGAAUAACUCCCCGAAAGGGGUGCUAAUACCGGAUAAUGUCUUCGGACCAAAGAUUUAUCGCCUUUGGAUGGGCCCGCGUUGGAUUAGCUAGUUGGUAGGGUAAAAGCCUACCAAGGCGACGAUCCAUAGCUGGUCUGAGAGGAUGAUCAGCCCCACUGGGACUGAGACACGGCCCAGACUCCUACGGGAGGCAGCAGUGGGGAAUAUUGGACAAUGGGCGAAAGCCUGAUCCGGCAAUGCCGCGUGAGUGAUGAAGGCCUUAGGGUUGUAAAGCUCUUUUACCCGGGAUGAUAAUGACAGUACCGGGAGAAUAAGCUCCGGCUAACUCCGUG